rnacentral:lncRNA from 1 species
GCAGGUACAACUACGACGUCGUCCACGACGUUCCGUUCGACGGCCGCUUCGAGUGGGUUCGAAUCAACUAACCAAGGGAAGCAGAAAAAUAAGGAAAAAGGAAAAGAACUUUUAUCAUUUUAUCUCUCUUUUAUCUGCUUUUUGUAUAGCAUCGCGAGCUCCACCUCCUGUGCGACGAGGCACACGGAGCGGAAGAAAACGAAGCUUCCAUAUUCUCUUGACAGACCUAAUAAAUUCUCUUCUCCACUGCCCCAUCUUAUUUCCAUCGUCUGAUCUCGAUCGCACGGCCCUUUAUGGCUGAUUAUUUUCGAUAAAGGGCGGAGAUAACGAAGGAGGCACGGAAAAGGGGUAGCAGCUCUCGGCUGGCGGCGGGUGGUGGCGUGCCUGAUCGUUGUGGGGCGAAGGGAGCGAUGCACAUUGUACGAGCUCUCAAGAAGACCUCCGCCGAGCGCCGCGUUCCGCCACGUGACAGCGAUCCCCGUGGUGGAAGGCUUGGUAGAGCGCCGCGAUGCACGUGGUGAGCGCUCCUUCCCCUAAUCCUCUCGUCGCCUGCCUUUUCUUGUUUGUUUUCUCUUUCCGCUGGUUUUAUGGCGACCGAUUUAGCCGGAUCUUUGAACCACUCGUUCCUUCGUUGAUUUGCUAUUCUUGGGGGUGCAUCGGAUCCGGUGCAUGGGUCAUCAUGAGGUAGAAGAAUGGCGGCCAGGAUGGAAAGAGGGGGGCGGACGGGAGUGGAAUGUUAGCAUCUUUGAAAUUAGUGCGCGUCGCGUCCACCGAAGAAUGAGAUAGAAAGUGAUGAUUAAAAUACAGAAAGAUAGACGUUUAUCAAAGCAGAGAGAGUAUCAUGGAGAAGAAGACUGAGAUCCGUGCUUUGCUGCGGGAUAUACCGCAUCCGAGGUGAUGAAACAACUUUGAGUUGCGGCAUGGAGUUUGCCGUUGGACUUUUGGGUAGAGGAAGGGGACGACGAUGAUCCCUAAGACGCGUA